GGAUCGUGUUCGAUUCCCUUGUAUGAGAAGCAUAGGCAACGACGUUGACGCUACUGUUAACCAAGCUUUCCUCAAGAAUCUUGAUGUUCUCCUUUCUACAACAUUUUGUAAUCUUGUAAGUUAAUCUCUUGACUUUUUCUGACUUCAGUCGAAAAAACAAUCAGACUACUUUUAUGUCUGAAACUUACUUCCUCAGGUGAAAAAUGCUGCGGAGAGCAGAAAAUAUCAACGGAUAGUGUUCACUGGACAUUCUUCAGGAGGUGCAACUGCAAUCUUAGCAACAAUUUGGUAUCUGGAGGAAUACUUCAAAA
rnacentral:lncRNA from 1 species